rnacentral:rRNA from 1 species
GACGAACGCUGGCGGCGUGCUUAACACAUGCAAGUCGAACGGAAAGGCCCUGCUUUUGUGGGGUGCUCGAGUGGCGAACGGGUGAGUAACACGUGAGUAACCUGCCCUUGACUUUGGGAUAACUUCAGGAAACUGGGGCUAAUACCGGAUCGGAGCUCCUGCUGCAUGGUGGGGGUUGGAAAGUUUCGGCGGUUGGGGAUGGACUCGCGGCUUAUCAGCUUGUUGGUGGGGUAGUGGCUUACCAAGGCUUUGACGGGUAGCCGGCCUGAGAGGGUGACCGGCCACAUUGGGACUGAGAUACGGCGCAGACUCCUACGGGAGGCAGCAGUGGGGAAUAUUGCACAAUGGGCGGAAGCCUGAUGCAGCAACGCCGCGUGCGGGAUGACGGCCUUCGGGUUGUAAACCGCUUUCGCCUGUGACGAAGCGUGAGUGACGGUAAUGGGUAAAGAAGCACCGGCUAACUACGUG